CUCUGGUGUUAGCUAUGGGUUCUUAAAAGUGAAACAUACCUAUUACCGGGUAUGUACCAGUUUUAGCGCCGAUGACCUGCUACUUAUUCGCUUACAAAAUGUUUGUUAUAGUUCGCACCUUUUUAAACAAUUUUUUUCCAAAUUUUUUUCUUGCCUCUGGUGCUAUCUAUUAGUUAUAAGAGGUAAAAAUGUAAAAUAACCCUACUAAGG
rnacentral:lncRNA from 1 species